rnacentral:rRNA from 1 species
AACGAACGCUGGCGGCGUGCCUAACACAUGCAAGUCGUGCGAGAAAAGGGGGGCGAACUCCCUGAGUACAGCGGCGCACGGGUGAGUAACACGUAGGUAACCUGCCCUCGAGCCUGGAAUAACCUACCGAAAGGUGGGCUAAUACCGGAUAUGACCACGGGAGUUUCGGCUUCUGCGGUGAAAGGUGGCCUCUACUUGUAAGCUACCACUCAAGGAUGGGGCCUGCGUACCAUUAGCUAGNGGUUGAGGUAACGGCUCACCAAGGCUGUGAUGGUUAGCUGGUCUGAGAGGAUGGCCAGCCACACUGGGACUGAAACACGG